rnacentral:rRNA from 1 species
UUGCUUGUNCUCAAAGAUUAAGCCAUGCAUGUNUAAGUACAAACCUUCCUUAGUGUGAAACCGCAAACGGCUCAUUAAAUCAGUCAUAAUUUAUUAGAUGCAGAUUAUCCUUACUCGGAUAACUGUGGCAAUUCUAGAGCUAAUACGUGCCUUUUGAGCUCUGACGCCGAGGCGAAAAUUUUUUUUUCUCUCGGGGGAAGGGCGCAGUUAUUAGAAUCAUAAACCGAGGCGGGCUUCCGAGUCCGAAACCACUUGGCUAUGAUGACUCUGGAUAACGUUGCCAAGCGCUGAGGCCUCUGAGCCGGCGCUGCAUCUUUUCGAGUGACUGCCCUAUCAGCUUUCGAUUGUAGGAUAUAGGCCUACGAUGGCUGUUACGGGUAACGGGGAAUCAGGGUUCGAUUCCGGAGAGGGAGCCUGAGAAACGGCUACCACAUCUAAGGAAGGCAGCAGGCACGCAAAUUACCCAAUCCCGGCUCGGGGAGGUAGUGACGAUAAAUAMCGAUGCGGGACUCWUCCGAGGCCUCGCAAUCGGAAUGAGYUCACUYUAAAAUAMKUGGRCGAGGAUCSAUUGGAGGGCAAGUCUGGUGCCAGCAGCCGCGGUAAUUCCAGCUCCAAUAGCGUAUAUUAAAGUUGCUGCGGUUAAAAAGCUCGUAGUUGGACUUUAAGAUACGUACCGGCGGCCCAUCCAAGGCGCGCCCUCGCUUAUCGUCGGCUUAUAAGGCGUUCGCGCUUUAGCCGUUCGGCCCGCCCUUCACCUUGGCUAACCCACCGCCGCUUCUCUCCCCUCACGAGCCCCAUCGCUCAUUUUCCCCUCUUUUCUCGGGGAGAUCGGUCCACACCUGGUUUUUUAGAAAGGCCACUCCCCGCCUCGUCGGGGUCGACGGCGUCGGCGAAAAUAUAGCGGUUUUACCGUUCCCUAUUUCCCGUCGUGCGGUCGGCCGCAAACACCGCGAGGCGCGGGGGCUACGGUGUCCCGCUCCUAUCUAAACGAGGAAACGAGGUGAUCGAGCGAAUCGGGGCGACGAGGCUUCGUUGCGGGGGUCGCGUUGUUGGUGGUCGCUUCGGCGUUGGGUAAAUAAAAGGUCGGGCGGUGUUUAGCUCGGCGAGAGGCGGGUAAGCGCGCCCGGUGGUUCACUUGCCGGCAACGAAUUUUUAAAAGCCGUCGGCGCUCACGGGGUGCUCUUUACCGAGUGUCCCGCGUGGCCGACACGUUCACUUUGAAAAAAUUAGAGUGCUCAAAGCAGGCAAAACCUUAUAGCCUGAAUGUAUAUGCAUGGWAUGAUGGAACAGGACCUCGGUUCUGUCAUGUAAUCGGUUCUUAGGAACCAGAGGUAAUGAUUAACGGGAACGGACGGGGACAUUAGUAUUGCUACGCGAGAGGUGAAAUUCUUAGACCGUAGCAAGACUAACUACUGCGUAAGCAUUUGUCCAGGAUGUAUCCAUUAAUCAAGAUCUAAAGUCAGAGGAUCGAAGGCGAUUAGAUACCGCCCUAGUUCUAACUAUAAACGAUGCCAACUAGCGAUCCGCCGGUGUACAGCACCCCUACGCGGCGGGAAACUUCCGGGAAACCUAAGUUUUUGGGUUCCGGGGGGAGUAUGGUUGCAAGGCUGAAACUUAAAGGAAUUGACGGAGGGGCACCACAAGGAGUGGAGCCUGCGGCUUAAUUUGACUCAACACGGGGAACCUUACCAGGCCCUGACGCUGUGUGGAUUGACAGAUUGAGAGCUCUUUCUCGAUGCAGAGGAUGGUGGUGCAUGGCCGUUCUUAGUUGGUGGAGUGAUUUGUCUGGUUGAUUCCGAUAACGAACAAGACUCUUACCUACUUAAUAGUUGGCGGAUGAUUAACCUCCCCACGAGCUCGUCGCCGCUAUCUCGGGUAACUCGACGCCGUCGAAGACCUCCCCGUAUCCUCUCUUUACUCUUCUUCCUUUUCUCCUUUCCUCGCGGGAAGUGAGGGGGGGGAGAGAGGGAGAGGUACGGGUGAGGUUCGGCGGGGCCGGGCCCCGAAUAGCGAGCGGGUUCAAACAAGGAGAGGUGUCCGUCGUAAUGUCUUCUUAGAGGUAUCAUCAUCUUAGAAGGUGCACGAGAAAGAGCAAUAACAGGUCUGUGAUGCCCUUAGAUGGUCUGGGCCGCACGCGCGCUACAAUGAAGGGAGCAACGUGAUUAUCCCCCUCCGAAAGGAAAGGGAACCCGUUGAAACCCCUCUCUCGAUUGGGAUUGUGGCUUGUAAAUAUAUCUCAUGAACGAGGAAUUCCCAGUAAGCGCAGGUCAUGAGCCUGCGUUGACUAAGUCACUGCCCUUUGUACACACCGCCCGUCGCUACUACCGAUUGAAUGGUUAAGUGAGGUCAUCAGACUGGCACCCGACGACGGCGCGCUAGAGUUAACUCUCUGCCGCCGCACAGGGUUGACGGGAACAUGUCCGAACUUGACCAUUUAGAGGAAGUAAAAGUCGUAACAAGGUUUCCGUAGGUGAACCUGCGGNAAGGAUCA